rnacentral:rRNA from 1 species
GACGAACGCUGGCGGCGUGCUUAACACAUGCAAGUCGAACGGAAAGGCCCUGCUUUUGUGGUGUGCUUGUUUGGCGAACGGGUGAGUAACACGUGAGUAACCUGCCCUUGUCUUUGGGAUAACUUCAGGAAACUGGGGCUAAUAUCGGAUAGGAGCUCCUGCUCCAUGGUGGGGGUUGGAAAGUUUCGGCGGUUGGGGAUGGACUCGCGGCUUAUCAGCUUGUUGGUGGGGUAGUGGCUUACCAAGGCCUAGACGGGUAGCCGGCCUGAGAGGGUGACCGGCCACAAUGGGACUGAGAGACGGACCAGACGCCUACGGGAGGCAGCAGGGGGGAAUAUUGCACAGUGGGCGGAAGCCUGAGACAGAGACGCCGCGUGCGGGAUGACGGCCUUCGGGUUAUGAACCGAUUUCGCCUGUGACGAAGCGUGAGUGACGGUAAUGGGUAAAGAAGCACCGGCUAACUACGUG